GACGAACGCUGGCGGCGUGCUUAACACAUGCAAGUCGAACGGAAAGGCCCUGCUUGCAGGGUACUCGAGUGGCGAACGGGUGAGUAACACGUGGGUGAUCUGCCCUGCACUUCGGGAUAAGCCUGGGAAACUGGGUCUAAUACCGGAUAGGAGCCAUUUUUAGUGUGAUGGUUGGAAAGUUUUUUCGGUGUAGGAUGAGCUCGCGGCCUAUCAGCUUGUUGGUGGGGUAAUGGCCUACCAAGGCGGCGACGGGUAGCCGGCCUGAGAGGGUGGACGGCCACAUUGGGACUGAGAGACGGCCCAGACUCCGACGGGAGGCAGCAGUGGGGAAUAUUGCACAAUGGGCGCAAGCCUGAUGCAGCGACGCCGCGUGGGGGAUGACGGCCUUCGGGUUGUAAACUCCUUUCGCUUGGGACGAAGCUUUUUGUGACGGUACCUAGAUAAGAAGCACCGGCUAACUACGUG
rnacentral:rRNA from 1 species